rnacentral:tRNA from 1 species
AUAAAAAAAGCGAUKGAUAWUUGCAUUAAGUUUCGGCCUUAAAAUAGAAARAAUUUUCUUUUUAUA